rnacentral:tRNA from 30 species
CGGGAAGUAGCUCAGCUUGGCAGAGCACUUGGUUUGGGACCAAGGGGUCGCAGGUUCAAAUCCUGUCUUCCCGACCA